CCUGGUAGCGGGGGAGUAACUAUUGAAACGAUAGCUAAUACCGCAUAAUAUUGAUUAUUGCAUGAUAAUUGAUUGAAAGAUGCAACUGCAUCACUACCAGAUGGACCUGCGUUGUAUUAGCUAGUAGGUGAGGUAACGGCUCACCUAGGCGACGAUACAUAGCCGACCUGAGAGGGUGAUCGGCCACACUGGGACUGAGACACGGCCCAG
rnacentral:rRNA from 1 species